UCAAGCGAUCUGCCCACCUCGGCCUCCCAAAGUGCUGGGAUUACAGGCAUGAACCACCACGCCCCGCCAUGUUCUGUUUCUUAAAUUAGUUGUUGGUGGCAGGACUGUGAUUAGUUUGUGAAAUUUCAGCCGAAUGUGCAUUUUUGUGUACUCAUCUGUGGUCAUGUUAUAUUUCAAUAAAAAGCAGUCUCUGCCAGAACCUACAGGCAAUGAGGUGCCACAGAAGGAGUUGACAUUUGAGAGGCUUGAGAAGGGUUUAAGAGACACAAUCAGAUUUGCAUUAGGAAGAUUAAUCUUUGGCUUUGGAGGAUGACCGGGAAAGGAGUUGGGAGCUAUUUGUAGAACUAAUCCAGGCAAGCAAUUAUGAAGGUCUGAAUUAGAGCAAGGGAAUAGGAAUGAGGACAGGAUACAGCUGAUAUUUAGGAAGUAAACAUGACAGGACGUGAGCCGAUCACUAAAUCCUCCUGCUCAUGUUUCCUUGCUUGAAAAAUAAGGAAUAACAGUACCUACUUCAUUGGGACUAGUUUGAUGAUUUAAUGAGGGGGAGUGGUUUUAGAUUUAUAAAAUAUAUAUAUGCUUAUUGUAUACCAUACCUAGACAUAAGGUAUUAAUAUUAGAAAGCUCUAAGAGAAAUAUCUUGAUUUUGGCAUUGUCCCUGCGACGCUGCCUUCUCCCUGCCUAGGAUGGAUCAGCGUGGGACACAGGGUAGAAGGCAGAGGUACAGAAUACCACAGGACAUGUCAGAACGUGGGCGUGAAACGGGCCCAAGGGACCACGGGUGAAGGUCUAGGACUCUUCCAGCAGCCUGAGCGCCAGCAGAAGGAACCAAAACUAACCCAGGCGUUUCCUCUCCUCCUCCCCAGCCUUUCGGCCGAGAAGCAGACCGGCGGAACGCGACGGGGAUUCAGGCCUAGGGGUGGGCUUGAGGCCGGAAAAAUGGCCAAUGGAACGAGAGCUUCUCCGUGCUUAGCCAAUUGCAUGACCCCCCCCCCAGGACCGCCCCCAUCCGGUGAUUGGCAGACACGUCUCCCAGUGUUGUCGCGGCCUGCUAAGGCUCUCAGAACUCCCGCGAGGGUGCGGGUCUUCCUCCAGCGCUGGGCUACUUGGUCCCGCCCCUCAAGGGUUCACUACUAUUUUCCGCGUUGCUCUCAAUACCUCGUGGAUCUCUGCUUCUCUAAGUCUGAAACCACACUAGAAACACAGCUGUUUUGUUUGGUGAGCCCCUACAUGGAUGUUUCCUUCCAGUUAAGGGGAGCCGGAUUCGGACCUUGGCGACAAACAGACGCCGGGGAACCCUCCGGUCCCACUGGCCACGUGCUCCAGGCUGACUCAUUCCUUCCCCCACCCCGCUCAAGGCUAGGAACAUACCUGCGCUAAGAACUGAGGCAGCUGCACUUCCGCAGACGUAAGAGACGAACUCCUGGAGCUCAAGGUCGGCUGGGGUUGGGUUCCUGUCCCGCACGCGUGGCCCGCCCGAAACCCGCUACAUAGUGGCGCGUCAGCCCUGGGGAAGCAAAGCGCAAAAUUGUUACGGUGCCCAGACCUGCGCCGGGAACCUCCGGCUGUUCCGCUGGGCGCGGCGCCUGUGCCUCGCGCAGCCCCGGGACGGGCACCGCCGCCCGCCCCCCGGGCCGCCGAGGGCUGCUCUACCCCUCCGUUCUGGCCGCCGGGAGCAGAGGAGCUCGAGGCGGGCAAAGCUCGUGGGGACACCGGGCGAGCCCAGCCCCUGAUCGGACCCACGGGCCGGCCGGGCGCCCUCCCCGCGGGAGACCGAAAGCCGAAGACUGGAGAUGCACUCACCGCGCAACUCCAGCUGACAAAGAGGCCUGCGACCUGCGACGGGCGCACAAACCAGAGAGGCGGCGCGGGGCGGGGAGGGAAGCAGGAGGGUCGCGAGGCCCGCAGCCAAUCCCGGGAAGACUCUGGGCAAGGGCGGGGCGCGCAGCCGAUCCCCUGGAGAGGUCGGGUAGCUCAGCCAAUCCCGGGAAGAUCCUGAGCGGGGCGGGGUGGAGGGCCGCGGCACGCACAGCCAAUCCCGGAUGGGGCGGGACGGGCCCGGCCAUUGGCUGUCGGUGUCCGGGGCCGGCCUAGGUGUGGCUCAUGCAGUAGCACGGGGAUAAGCCAUGUCUGCGCGCGGAGCAUCCUUCUCUGAAUUAGAUUUUUCAGGCUACCUACCAA
rnacentral:lncRNA from 1 species